rnacentral:lncRNA from 1 species
AAUUAAAGGCUCCCUCCCAAUGGCCUUCUCUAUACUUAGGAUUCUGGGAGUUAAGACAAUGUGGAGAAUAUAGGCAUUCUCAGCUCCUGCGCUGCAUCUCCCCUUGAUCCUCUGUCCAAGGCCACUCAACUAGGUCACCCUUCUGCUCCUUGACAAACAGUGCUUCAAGUGAGGUCUUCCAUGGAUCCUCAGGAGCUUGGAGUGAAGCAUCCAGCAGUCCUUUAGGACAAGAUUUACCAUUGACCAUGUGAGACUGAUGUCACCAAUGGUGUGGAGUCCUCCUUCCUGGAAACAUCCAUCUUCCUGCCUCUGACUUGGACUGAUUGUUCUCCAGGCCUGUGGCACAGCAUCACCC